rnacentral:rRNA from 1 species
GACGAACGCCGGCGGCGUGCCUAAUACAUGCAAGUCGAGCGAAGUUUUUCUGGUGCUUGCACUAGAAAAACUUAGCGGCGAACGGGUGAGUAACACGUAAAGAACCUGCCUCAUAGACUGGGACAACUAUUGGAAACGAUAGCUAAUACCGGAUAACAGUAUUUCUCGCAUGAGAGAUAUUUAAAAGUUGGUUAUGCUAACACUAUGAGAUGGCUUUGCGGUGCAUUAGCUAGUUGGUGGGGUAAAGGCCUACCAAGGCGACGAUGCAUAGCCGACCUGAGAGGGUGAUCGGCCACACCGGGACUGAGACACGGCCCAGACUCCUACGGGAGGCAGCAGUAGGGAAUCUUCCGCAAUGGGCGAAAGCCUGACGGAGCAACGCCGCGUGAGUGAAGAAGGAUUUCGGUUCGUAAAGCUCUGUUGUUAGGGAAGAAUGGAUAUGUAGUAACUAUACAUGUAAGAGACGGUACCUAACCAGAAAGCCACGGCUAACUACGUGCCAGCAGCCGCGGUAAUACGUAGGUGGCAAGCGUUGUCCGGAAUUAUUGGGCGUAAAGCGCGCGCAGGUGGUUUAAUAAGUCUGAUGUGAAAGCCCACGGCUCAACCGUGGAGGGUCAUUGGAAACUGUUAAACUUGAGUGCAGGAGAGAAAAGUGGAAUUCCUAGUGUAGCGGUGAAAUGCGUAGAGAUUAGGAGGAACACCAGUGGCGAAGGCGGCUUUUUGGCCUGUAACUGACACUGAGGCGCGAAAGCGUGGGGAGCAAACAGG